CUCUACACAAAGCUCUGACUGUGCUGACUUGCACAUGCCCAGAGCAAUUAGGGUCUGUUGAAACCUCAGGGCCCAGUGAGAGGUCCUGGGUUAGGCAGAAGAGGUGACCCAAGUAUUCAUCUAUGAAAUGGCCAAGACAGAGUCAAGGCAGGAGUUUGUAAACCUGGAAACAGAGCCAGAAUUCGGGGUCUGACAUUGAACAGCUAUCAAAAGAAGUCAAGGUGCUAGUGAGACAUGUUUUUGCACCACUUGGAAGAAAAAGUAGAUAGCUCCCUGAAGCUCAGUUUCAUUGCCCGGCACAAAUGUCUUGAAGAAAUGGCAGCUUUUAGGAGUGAUGGAGAAAUGAAGUUGGGCAGAUUGUGCCAGAAGCACUGGUGAGCUGGUGACAUUACUGCUCAACUGGGAAGGUGAGGGCAUAAGGACAUCUCUGGACAGCAGCAAAGCCAGUGGUCAUGUAUGGAUGCUAGAGUUGGACUGUGAAGAAAGCUGAGUGUCGAAGAAUUGAUGCUUUUGAACUGUGGUGUUGGAGAAGACUCUUGAGAGUUCCUUGGACUGCAAGGAGAUUCAACCAGUCCAUUCUAAAGGAGAUCAGCCCUGGGUGUUCUUUGGAAGGAAUGAUGCUAAAGCUGAAACUCCAGUACUUCGGCCACCUCAUGCAAAGAGUUGAUUCAUUGGAAAAGACUCUGAUGCUGGGAGGGAUUGGGGGCAAGAGGAGAAGGGGACAACAGAGGAUGAGAG
ensembl:lncRNA